CCUAAAACGCUUGUUUGAGACCUAUUGCGCUUGUUUGACUAGGUUCUGACAACUGAGGAAGACUUGAGAUCUACUUGUACUUUAAGCAUGUAGUUUGAAUUAAACAAUGUAGCUGUCUCAAAUGUGCUCGGAAGUAGUACUAGAUUGUUUACUUUCAUGAAUGUAAUUCGAGUUAAACAUUGUAGUUUUGCCUUAGGUUGCCACUUGAAGCUGGAAAAGUGUAAAACCUGGAUUUGUAUGUGGCUGGUAUAAAUUUGUUACUUGGCUUGUAA